UUUGCUUAUAUCGCAAAAAAUAAAUUGCUAGCUAGCUAAACAACAACUGUAACAGUGUAUUUGAGACAUGUUCUCAUUGUGAAACUUUAUGUUUUCAAUUAACAUUGGAGAUUAAAUAUAGUUUACAUGUCAUCAACAAUAUAAGCCAACCCUGUCUGUUUCCCCAUAGUUGGGCAUCCGUCGGUUUUGUUGCUAAACAACCAACCUGUCUAUGUUAAUGGUAGGUCUCGACAUGUCAGUGACCUCAGUCGGGGUCUCAACAUACUGUUGAGAGGUAGAAUAGUAGAAUACGCAUACUGUUGAGAGGUAGAAUAGUAGAACACGCAUACUGUUGAGAGGUAGAAUAGUAGAAUACGCAUACUGUUGAGAGGUAGAAUAGUAGAAUACGCAUACUGUUGAGAGGUAGAAUAGUAGAAUACGCAUACUGUUGAGAGGUAGAAUAGUAGAAUACGCAUACUGUUGAGAGGUAGAAUAGUAGAAUACGCAUACUGUUGAGAGGUAGAAUAGUAGAAUACGCAUACUGUUGAGAGGUAGAAUAGUAGAAUACGCAUACUGUUGAGAGGUAGAAUAGUAGAAUACGCAUACUGUUGAGAGGUAGAAUAGUAGAAUACGCAUACUGUUGAGAGGUAGAAUAGUAGAAUACGCAUACUGUUGAGAGGUAGAACAC